rnacentral:rRNA from 1 species
GACGAACGCUGGCGGCGUGCUUAACACAUGCAAGUCGAACGGAAAGGCCCUGCUUUUGUGGGGUGCUCGAGUGGCGAACGGGUGAGUAACACGUGAGUAACCUGCCCUUGACUUUGGGAUAACUUCAGGAAACUGGGGCUAAUACCGGAUAGGAGCUCCUGCUGCAUGGUGGGGGUUGGAAAGUUUCGGCGGUUGGGGAUGGACUCGCGGCUUAUCAGCUUGUUGGUGGGGUAGUGGCUUACCAAGGCUUUGACGGGUAGCCGGCCUGAGAGGGUGACCGGGCACAUUGGGACUAAGAUACGGCGCAGACUCCUACGGGAGGCAGCAGGGGGGAAUAUUGCGCAAUGGGCGGAAGCCUGAUGCAGCAACGCCGCGUGCGGGAUGACGGCCUUCGGGUUAUAAACCGCUUUCGCCUGUGACGAGGCGUGAGUGACGGUAAUGGGUAAAGAAGCACCGGCUAACUACGUG